AUUUCUCGCUGUUUCCUCCACGCCUUCGUCUUUCACUUCACUUCACUCCCUUCCCUUUGGUUCCGUCCACCUGAAAAGGAAAGGGCAGUAUGCGAAGAUGAAGCAAAUGAUAUGGCCGACUCGAUCAGAUGCAUCUCGAUUCAAAUCUCUUCCUUCACCCAACAUCAAACCCAUAAAAGAAAGCCAAUCCCCGGCUUCCCAUUCAUCUACAAUCCAUUCUAGAUCAACAAAAUUAUCGUCUUCCUCCAACGCUGGCGAUUUUUCCACGCUUCCCUUCGAUAUUUUAACCAAAAUCGCCGCCUCCUUCACCUUGACUAACAUCCAAGCGGCGUCUCUGGUAUGCCGGUCGUGGAGGGAUGCGCUUCGGCCUCUCAGAGAGGCCAUGAUGUUUCUAAGAUGGGGUAAGCGGUUCAAGCACGGCGGAGGCGGCGUGCGUCCUAAUUUGGAGAAGGCUCUUGACUCGUUUUUGAAAGGCGCGGCUCGUGGCUCUACACUGGCCAUGGUUGAUGCUGGGCUUGUUUACUGGGAAAUGGGUCAGAAGGAGAAGGCGAUUUCCUUGUAUCGCAAAGCCGCGGAGCUUGGGGAUCCUGCAGGGCAAUGUAAUUUGGGAAUUUCUUAUUUGAAAGCCAAACCCCCAAAACAGAAGGAAGCCAUUAAUUGGUUGUCAGAAGCAUCCAUUGCUGGGCAUGUUCGUGCUCAAUACCAACUUGCACGUUGUCUACAACAAGGUCGUGGGGUGGAUCAUAAUCUACAAGAAUCCGCUAAAUGGUAUCUACAAGCGGCUGCUGGUGGGUAUGUACGUGCAAUGUACAAUGUGGCGCUUUGUUACUCAGUUGGGGAAGGUUUGCCCCAAAAUCGUCGACAAGCAAGGAAAUGGAUGAAACGGGCUGCUGAUCGUGGCCACAGUAAAGCACAAUUUGAGCAUGGACUUGGUCUCUUCUCUGAAGGAGAGAUGGUGAAAGCUGUAGUUUACCUGGAACUUGCUACUCGUUCUGGUGAAACAGCAGCUGCUCAUGUAAAGAAUGUAAUUCUCCAGCAACUGUCAGCAGCUUCGCGUGAUCGUGUUAUGCUUCUUGCUGACAACUGGCGUGCUUUGCCUUCAUCUCACUGAGUCAUUUCAAAUCAUAGGUUGUCUUGCGGUAGCUUGCCUGCUAGACCUUUAAGUUUUUAAGAAUCCAUGGUCCAAGUAAUUCUUAAACACUUGAAAUUUUUUAUCAUUUGACAGUAAUCCUGUGGAAACAUGGUCUUCUCUCACUAUCUGCCAUGACCUUACCAGAUUUUUUGGUCGGCUAAGAAUUAUCAUUAUUUGCCAUGACCUGUGGCCACAAAUUUCAGCAUCUUUACACUUUUUAUUGGUGCACAACCUUUCCUUACCUCUGUUGCUUUGUCUGCCUAAGAAACAAAUGGCUUUGAUCAAUCGCUGAGAGAACAACUGCACUGUGGUUUAGUGUUGCAGUUUCUGGUUGCACUUGUUCAAGGCUACAGUGACAGUGCCGAAUGUUUUAGCUGAUAGUUCGAUUUGACUUGAUGGUUCCAUUUAUGGAGUACAGCAGGUGAUCUGUGAUAAUGUUAGUUAAUUUCUGUGUUUUAUACUAUUAAGUAAUGGGUGGAAGGGUUAUGCAUACAUUGUUUGAUCGAUUGAUCAUUAGUUUUAGUGGGCAUGACAACUUAGUAGGAAGACUAGUUGAUGCAAGUGAAUCACAACUCUCAUGUAAUACAAAAAUACUGUACAGGUGGAUGAAUCUUUCUCUCUCAAAAUGCUGGCUUUUUUUUGUGUCGUGGCCGAUUUUUGAUAAAAACAAUGAAAUUCAAACUUGUUCAGCAGUGAGACAUAGAUGACCUUUCCUAAUGACCAACGAAUGUAUUAUACUGGCUGUGGCAAAUAGCCUACUGUAUGGUAUACUGGACUUCGGUAAAUGAUAAAAUGGAUCAACUAGGAAAGCAAAAUUGUAAAACAUGAGGCGCAGUUGAAUUUACUAGAAUAUAGAAAAUGUUUUCUUCAAGAUUGCAACUUG
rnacentral:misc_RNA from 1 species